rnacentral:rRNA from 1 species
GACGAACGCUGGCGGCGUGCUUAACACAUGCAAGUCGAACGGUGAAGCGCCUUCCUUUUUGGUGGGUGUGGAUGAGUGGCGAACGGGUGAGUAACACGUGAGUAACCUGCCCCCUUCUUCUGGAUAACCGCAUGAAAGUGUUGCUAAUACGGGAUAUUCUGGGUCUGUCGCAUGAUGGGUCUGGGAAAGAUAUUGUUUCGGUGGGGGAUGGGCUCGCGGCCUAUCAGCUUGUUGGUGGGGUGAUGGCCUACCAAGGCGGUGACGGGUAGCCGGCCUGAGAGGGUGGACGGUCACACUGGGAAUGAGACACGGCCCAGACUCCUACGGGAGGCAGCAGUGGGGAAUAUUGCACAAUGGGCGCAAGCCUGAUGCAGCGACGCCGCGGGAGGGAUGGAGGCCUUCGGGUUGUGAACCUCUUUCGCCAGUGAAGCAGGCCUGCCUCGUUUGUGGGUGGGUUGACGGUAGCUGGAUAAGAAGCGCCGGCUAACUACGUG